rnacentral:lncRNA from 1 species
UGUGUUUGGAGAAGAGGCAGCCUCUCUGCGUGGCUGAGCACAUUAUUGUACAGUCCCAGCCACUACAGUAAUGUCUGGUGUGACUUCAAGGACUCUCCUCUGAAACUGGGACAGAGUUCUGUGUUGCUGCUCCAGCCCUUUCCAUCUGCCUUUUUGUUCUCCAUCACAGCUGUGGCCUGUCCUCAUAUGUGAAAUAACAAAUUCAAUUUUGUCUUACUUGCUGUGAAGCCUUGGAGAAAUGACUCAGUCCAUGCAAACCACCAACUCUCCCACUUACCCUCCUGUGAAGGAAAAUUUAUUUUAGUUGAAUUGGGUGAUUACAGUCAAGGAGGAGAAACAUUUGCCUUUUUGAGCAGAGAAGUCAAAGAACCCUCAGAGAUGGUUAGUUAUUCAGCAUGUUCAUGUGGCAAGUCAGUCACCAUGGACAUCGCUGGAAUCAUCUGGGAUUUAGGAGGAAGAGGGGAAUUGUGAGAGUAUAGAUGUGGGGAAAACACAUAAAUUUCAGUUUUUAGAUAAAAAAACCCCUGAUAUCCAGGAAGACAGGCUUUAGUAACUACAAAUAUUCAAGGAACACUUUUCCCAUCUGUGACUAACUCAAAGAUUUGUUUCAUCACUUACCAGAC